GGGUUGUGAGGUUAAGCGACUAAGCGUACACGGUGGAUGCCCUGGCAGUCAGAGGCGAUGAAGGACGUGCUAAUCUGCGAUAAGCGUCGGUAAGGUGAUAUGAACCGUUAUAACCGGCGAUUUCCGAAUGGGGAAACCCAGUGUGUUUCGACACACUAUCAUUAACUGAAUCCAUAGGUUAAUGAGGCGAACCGGGGGAACUGAAACAUCUAAGUACCCCGAGGAAAAGAAAUCAACCGAGAUUCCCCCAGUAGCGGCGAGCGAACGGGGAGCAGCCCAGAGCCUGAAUCAGUGUGUGUGUUAGUGGAAGCGUCUGGAAAGGCGCGCGAUACAGGGUGACAGCCCCGUACACAAAAAUGCACAUGCUGUGAGCUCGAUGAGUAGGGCGGGACACGUGGUAUCCUGUCUGAAUAUGGGGGGACCAUCCUCCAAGGCUAAAUACUCCUGACUGACCGAUAGUGAACCAGUACCGUGAGGGAAAGGCGAAAAGAACCCCGGCGAGGGGAGUGAAAAAGAACCUGAAACCGUGUACGUACAAGCAGUGGGAGCACGCUUAGGCGUGUGACUGCGUACCUUUUGUAUAAUGGGUCAGCGACUUAUAUUCUGUAGCAAGGUUAACCGAAUAGGGGAGCCGAAGGGAAACCGAGUCUUAACUGGGCGUUAAGUUGCAGGGUAUAGACCCGAAACCCGGUGAUCUAGCCAUGGGCAGGUUGAAGGUUGGGUAACACUAACUGGAGGACCGAACCGACUAAUGUUGAAAAAUUAGCGGAUGACUUGUGGCUGGGGGUGAAAGGCCAAUCAAACCGGGAGAUAGCUGGUUCUCCCCGAAAGCUAUUUAGGUAGCGCCUCGUGAAUUCAUCUCCGGGGGUAGAGCACUGUUUCGGCAAGGGGGUCAUCCCGACUUACCAACCCGAUGCAAACUGCGAAUACCGGAGAAUGUUAUCACGGGAGACACACGGCGGGUGCUAACGUCCGUCGUGAAGAGGGAAACAACCCAGACCGCCAGCUAAGGUCCCAAAGUCAUGGUUAAGUGGGAAACGAUGUGGGAAGGCCCAGACAGCCAGGAUGUUGGCUUAGAAGCAGCCAUCAUUUAAAGAAAGCGUAAUAGCUCACUGGUCGAGUCGGCCUGCGCGGAAGAUGUAACGGGGCUAAACCAUGCACCGAAGCUGCGGCAGCGACGCUUAUGCGUUGUUGGGUAGGGGAGCGUUCUGUAAGCCUGCGAAGGUGUGCUGUGAGGCAUGCUGGAGGUAUCAGAAGUGCGAAUGCUGACAUAAGUAACGAUAAAGCGGGUGAAAAGCCCGCUCGCCGGAAGACCAAGGGUUCCUGUCCAACGUUAAUCGGGGCAGGGUGAGUCGACCCCUAAGGCGAGGCCGAAAGGCGUAGUCGAUGGGAAACAGGUUAAUAUUCCUGUACUUGGUGUUACUGCGAAGGGGGGACGGAGAAGGCUAUGUUGGCCGGGCGACGGUUGUCCCGGUUUAAGCGUGUAGGCUGGUUUUCCAGGCAAAUCCGGAAAAUCAAGGCUGAGGCGUGAUGACGAGGCACUACGGUGCUGAAGCAACAAAUGCCCUGCUUCCAGGAAAAGCCUCUAAGCAUCAGGUAACAUCAAAUCGUACCCCAAACCGACACAGGUGGUCAGGUAGAGAAUACCAAGGCGCUUGAGAGAACUCGGGUGAAGGAACUAGGCAAAAUGGUGCCGUAACUUCGGGAGAAGGCACGCUGAUAUGUAGGUGAAGUCCCUCGCGGAUGGAGCUGAAAUCAGUCGAAGAUACCAGCUGGCUGCAACUGUUUAUUAAAAACACAGCACUGUGCAAACACGAAAGUGGACGUAUACGGUGUGACGCCUGCCCGGUGCCGGAAGGUUAAUUGAUGGGGUCAGCGCAAGCGAAGCUCUUGAUCGAAGCCCCGGUAAACGGCGGCCGUAACUAUAACGGUCCUAAGGUAGCGAAAUUCCUUGUCGGGUAAGUUCCGACCUGCACGAAUGGCGUAAUGAUGGCCAGGCUGUCUCCACCCGAGACUCAGUGAAAUUGAACUCGCUGUGAAGAUGCAGUGUACCCGCGGCAAGACGGAAAGACCCCGUGAACCUUUACUAUAGCUUGACACUGAACAUUGAGCCUUGAUGUGUAGGAUAGGUGGGAGGCUUUGAAGUGUGGACGCCAGUCUGCAUGGAGCCGACCUUGAAAUACCACCCUUUAAUGUUUGAUGUUCUAACGUUGACCCGUAAUCCGGGUUGCGGACAGUGUCUGGUGGGUAGUUUGACUGGGGCGGUCUCCUCCUAAAGAGUAACGGAGGAGCACGAAGGUUGGCUAAUCCUGGUCGGACAUCAGGAGGUUAGUGCAAUGGCAUAAGCCAGCUUGACUGCGAGCGUGACGGCGCGAGCAGGUGCGAAAGCAGGUCAUAGUGAUCCGGUGGUUCUGAAUGGAAGGGCCAUCGCUCAACGGAUAAAAGGUACUCCGGGGAUAACAGGCUGAUACCGCCCAAGAGUUCAUAUCGACGGCGGUGUUUGGCACCUCGAUGUCGGCUCAUCACAUCCUGGGGCUGAAGUAGGUCCCAAGGGUAUGGCUGUUCGCCAUUUAAAGUGGUACGCGAGCUGGGUUUAGAACGUCGUGAGACAGUUCGGUCCCUAUCUGCCGUGGGCGCUGGAGAACUGAGGGGGGCUGCUCCUAGUACGAGAGGACCGGAGUGGACGCAUCACUGGUGUUCGGGUUGUCAUGCCAAUGGCACUGCCCGGUAGCUAAAUGCGGAAGAGAUAAGUGCUGAAAGCAUCUAAGCACGAAACUUGCCCCGAGAUGAGUUCUCCCUGACCCUUUAAGGGUCCUGAAGGAACGUUGAAGACGACGACGUUGAUAGGCCGGGUGUGUAAGCGCAGCGAUGCGUUGAGCUAACCGGUACUAAUGAACCGUGAGGCUUAACCUUACAACGCCGAAGGUGUUU
rnacentral:rRNA from 1 species